ACCCUCAUUCGAAAGUUAAUUCUCCCGUACCCUCAUUCGACCUCUUUGUUCAGCCACCAUGGCCGCCAGCGCUGCUAGAACUGUGUUCCGUUCUGCCACCACAUCCGCCCGGACUGCGGCGGCGAAAGUUUUUACCGGGGCCAAGCCAAAGCCCAGUCGCUCAACCUUCCGCAUCCCCGCUCAAAAACCCCUCUCGACUCGCAUAUUCAGGUCCCCAGUUGAAAUGAGCUGUAUAAGCGUGGGAUCGAUGUUUCCUUAUCACAGUGCAACCGCUUCGGCAUUGCUAACUUCUAUGCUCUCCGAGGUUUCUCCUUGGACUUAUAAUUGGUCCCAAGAUUCUUGAUAGGUUAUUGAGGCACCAAAUAGGCAGCCACUUGGACUCAGAAACUUCACCAUGGGACUUUGAGCUGUGGAGAACUCUCGGGUAAUACCUGCAGCAACGGCAGAAUUAUUGUCUACACAAGCGCCCACACCUAGUUUCUCAUCAUUUUUAUCUUCCAGGCUUCACGCUGAUGUACUUGUUAACCAAAUUCCACAUUUGUAGUAGUGAAUAUUUUCUUUCCAGUUUCUGAUCUUACGUUCGCAUGCUUCUGUAAUCAAAACAUCAACAUUACAUAUUCAUACUACCUUAGCCAGCUCUAGUGUUGAAGAGUUUGCAUUUUACCGCAAUGAAGUUGCUUGGAGCUGAGCUCUCUCGCAAUUUGGUUUUGUCUUAGUA